rnacentral:lncRNA from 1 species
UGUGUUCUUGUGUGAGCAUAAAAAACAAUAAGAAAUGAUUUCGUGUACAGUCCUUGAGUUCUCUGAUAUGAGCUGGGUUUAUUCUCUAUGAUUCUUCUUCCUUUUCUUAACAACAUGGAUGAAAAUGUAGAAGAGAAAUUAUAAAUGUAUGGGGUUUGAGGUAACCUUGUGUGGAGUUGUUCUUGAAGGCGUUGCUGGAGUUGUUUGAGAGUUUCUUGAUUUACUGAGUAUGGUUGAAAACAGC